rnacentral:lncRNA from 1 species
GAUCAGAGCGAUCUUCGAUCCGAGGCGACCAACAGAUCAGAGCGAUCUCCGAUCUCAGACGACCAAUAGAUAGCGAAGGAGAGAACCGCCGCGAACAACAGAACCCGGACGAGCGUGUCGCUGAGCUGAUCCAUCAGCAGCUUCAGGAUCGACUGAUCCUGGUGCUUCUCCAGUUCGUUCCAUCCGUACACUGCCCGACGCUUCUCGACUUCCUCCUCCGACAGCCCCGAGUCGCUGUUGACCUUGAACUCGUCCUCGC